GCUCUCGGGUGACGAGUGGCGGACGGGUGAGUAAUGUCUGGGAAACUGCCCGAUGGAGGGGGAUAACUACUGGAAACGGUAGCUAAUACCGCAUAACGUCGCAAGACCAAAGUGGGGGACCUUCGGGCCUCACACCAUCGGAUGUGCCCAGAUGGGAUUAGCUUGUAGGUGGGGUAAUGGCUCACCUAGGCGACGAUCCCUAGCUGGUCUGAGAGGAUGACCAGCCACACUGGAACUGAAACACGGUCCAAACUCCUACGGGAGGCAGCAGUGGGGAAUAUUGCACAAUGGGCGCAAGCCUGAUGCAGCCAUGCCGCGUGUAUGAAGAAGGCCUUCGGGUUGUAAAGUACUUUCAGCGGGGAGGAAGGCGAUGCGGUUAAUAACCGUGUCGAUUGACGUUACCCGCAGAAGAACACCGGCUAACUCCGUGCCAGCAGCCGCGGUAAUACGGAGGGUGCAAGCGUUAAUCGGAAUUACUGGGCGUAAAGCGCACGCAGGCGGUCUGUCAAGUCAGAUGUGAAAUCCCCGGGCUUAACCUGGGAACUGCAUUUGAAACUGGCAGGCUUGAGUCUCGUAGAGGGGGGUAGAAUUCCAGGUGUAGCGGUGAAAUGCGUAG
rnacentral:rRNA from 1 species